rnacentral:rRNA from 1 species
AGAGUUUGAUCAUGGCUCAGAUUGGGCGCUGGCGGCAGGCCUAACACAUGCACGUCGAGCGGAAACGAGUUAUCUGAACCUUCGGGGAACGAUAACGGCGUCGAGCGGCGUACGGGUGAGUAAUGCCUAGGAAAUUGCCCUGAUGUGGGGGAUAACCAUUGUAAACGAUGGCUAAUACCGCAUGAUGCCUACGGGCCACAGAGGGGGACCUUCGGGCCUCUCGCGUCAGGAUAUGCCUAGGUGGGAUUAGCUAGUUGGUGAGGUAAGGGCUCACCAAGGCGACGAUCCCUAGCUGGUCUGAGAGGAUGAUCAGCCACACUGGAACUGAGCCACGGUCCACACUAAUACGGGAGGCAGCAGUGGGGAAUAUUGCACAAUGGGCGCAAGCCUGAUGCAGCCAUGCCGCGUGUAUGAAGAAGGCCUUCGGGUUGUAAAGUACUUUCAGUCGUGAGGAAGGUGGCGUCGUUAAUAGCGGCGUUAUUUGACGUUAGCGACAGAAGAAGCACCGGCUAACUCCGUGCCAGCAGCCGCGGUAAUACGGAGGGUGCGAGCGUUAAUCGGAAUUACUGGGCGUAAAGCGCAUGCAGGUGGUUUGUUAAGUCAGAUGUGAAAGCCCGGGGCUCAACCUCGGAAUAGCAUUUGAAACUGGCAGACUAGAGUACUGUAGAGGGGGGUAGAAUUUCAGGUGUAGCGGUGAAAUGCGUAGAGAUCUGAAGGAAUACCGGUGGCGAAGGCGGCCCCCUGGACAGAUACUGACACUCAGAUGCGAAAGCGUGGGGAGCAAACAGGAUUAGAUACCCUGGUAGUCCACGCCGUAAACGAUGUCUACUUGGAGGUUGUGGCCUUGAGCCGUGCCUUUCGGAGCUAACGCGUUAAGUAGACGGCCUGGGGAGUACGGCCGCAAGAUUAAAACUCAAAUGAAUUGACGGGGGCCCCGCCAAGCGGUGGAGCAUGUGGUUUAAUUCGAUGCAACGCGAAGAACCUUACCUACUCUUGACAUCCAGAGAACUUUCCAGAGAUGGAUUGGUGCCUUCGGGAACUCUGAGACAGGUGCUGCAUGGCUGUCGUCAGCUCGUGUUGUGAAAUGUUGGGUUAAGUCCCGCAACGAGCGCAACCCUUAUCCUUGUUUGCCAGCGAGUAAUGUCGGGAACUCCAGGGAGACUGCCGGUGAUAAACCGGAGGAAGGUGGGGACGACGUCAAGUCAUCAUGGCCCUUACGAGUAGGGCUACACACGUGCUACAAUGGCGCAUACAGAGGGCGGCCAACUUGCGAAAGUGAGCGAAUCCCAAAAAGUGCGUCGUAGUCCGGAUUGGAGUCUGCAACUCGACUCCAUGAAGUCGGAAUCGCUAGUAAUCGUGGAUCAGAAUGCCACGGUGAAUACGUUCCCGGGCCUUGUACACACCGCCCGUCACACCAUGGGAGUGGGCUGCAAAAGAAGUAGGUAGUUUAACCUUCGGGGGGACGCUUACCACUUUGUGGUCAUGGCCCCGGGUGAAGUCGUACCAAGGUAA